rnacentral:ncRNA from 1 species
AAUAAUCCUUUGACGAGGAAGAGUAUCUAAUUAAUUUAGAUAAAGAGAGCCGGGGAUGGUGGAAUCCUGGUACGAUAAUUAUUAGUGAAUGGACCUUCGAGGAGUAACCCCGAAAUUUAAAGAUAUGCUUUAAAUAGUAGUAGUUACCGUUAGCCAUACGUUACAAUGGAUAGAACAUGUUAGUGUUCGAAGUAUUAAGGGGUAUUUAAUUUUUUAGAUACAAUUUAGGUGGUACCGCGGAUAUGAUCUCCGUCCUAAUU